rnacentral:rRNA from 1 species
AGUGAACGCUGGCGGUAGGCCUAACACAUGCAAGUCGAACGGCAGCACAGUAAGAGCUUGCUCUUACGGGUGGCGAGUGGCGGACGGGUGAGGAAUACAUCGGAAUCUACUUUUUCGUGGGGGAUAACGUAGGGAAACUUACGCUAAUACCGCAUACGACCUACGGGUGAAAGCAGGGGAUCUUCGGGCCUUGCGCGAUUGAAUGAGCCGAUGUCGGAUUAGCUAGUUGGCGGGGUAAAGGCCCACCAAGGCGCCGAUCCGUAGCUGGUCUGAGAGGAUGAUCAGCCACACUGGAACUGAGACACGGUCCAGACUCCUACGGGAGGCAGCAGUGGGGAAUAUUGGACAAUGGGCGCAAGCCUGAUCCAGCCAUACCGCGUGGGUGAAGAAGGCCUUCGGGUUGUAAAGCCCUUUUGUUGGGAAAGAAAAGCAGCAGGUUAAUACCCCGCUGUUCUGACGGUACCCAAAGAAUAAGCACCGGCUAACUUCGUG